GGAGGCCUGGAGGAGCAAGCAGCAAGCUAAAGCUGCCAGGUACCCAGCCGGAGAAUUUUCCACCAUCUAAUUUCUAUCUGGGUUGCCUGGCAGUCAGUGGGACUGAGUGUGAUUGGAAAGCAAGCAAUACAGGAGGCUACAACGGAGGACAAACUUGUACAGUUCCCAGCAUGGGUGGUGGAAGUCGUCAGAAGGAAUGGAGAACGAUAGAGACACCAAGAUCAUGUGUAGUGAAGGAGAAGAACUGUCAACUAUAAUUCAAUUCCAAGAACAGUGCAAAAACUUACAAAACAGUAAUUGCUGAUCCAAGAAAGCAAGGAAAUCAGCUCCAGCACGGAAAAAAAAACCUCAAAAGAAAACCAGCAGCAUUUACAGCCACAAUCCUCUCCAGUCCACCAUUUUAUUGUUUGUCUAUUGCUGUUUCAGAUGUUACUAUCCUCUGAUGCAAUAUUAGAUAAAGCCUGUUCCAAAUACACAAAGAAUGAACAUUUUGUACAGUGUAGUAUUCCAAACACCCAUUUCCAUAGCCACUGAUUCAGCAGCCAAUUCAAAUAAGCUCAGACAUGCAAAGAUAAUGAAUACUGGACUGUCAAAGGCAUUGAUAAAGAAUGUUAACAACUCUCUGAAUAAAGCAUAUUUAAAAAUCCUUAUCAGCAUAUAAUAUAUCCUCAGCUUAUUCUCACGGGUAAAGAAAUUAUUUAUUGCCCAUUUCCAUUAGCCCUUGAACAGGUGAGUUCAGUUUUCUUCCUGAACCACUGCAGUCCACAUGGAAGGUAUCCUCCAUUCAACAGAGUGUUAGUAAAUUGUGUAGGACCAUUGCCAAAAACGAAAGGGCGACACUGGUAUAUGCACACAAUUCUGGAUAUGACAACCUGAUUUCCAAACUUUGAGGAUAAUUACAGCUAAGAUGGUCACCCUUUUCAAG